UACGAAGGGGGCUAGCGUUGUUCGGAAUUACUGGGCGUAAAGCGCGCGCAGGCGGCCAUUCAAGUCAGGGGUGAAAGCCCAGAGCUCAACUCUGGAACUGCCUUUGAAACUGUAUGGCUUGAGUAUGAGAGAGGUGAGUGGAAUUCCCAGUGUAGAGGUGAAAUUCGUAGAUAUUGGGAAGAACACCAGUGGCGAAGGCGGCUCACUGGCCCGAUACUGACGCUGAGGCACGAAAGCGUGGGGAGCAAACAGG
rnacentral:rRNA from 1 species